UGGCCUACCCCAGUGGGCACUUUUUAGGUGCUCACAGCUGAAGACUUUCCAGUCUUCCUUACAAACAAGCGCUUUCUCACAUGUGCUGAUUUUGGAAGGCUUUGCUGAACGCCUUUGGACCUCACUCUCCCCACCAUCUAUUCUGACUCAUGCAGAUUUCAAAUGAAGAGUCUGUACAACUUGUGUAAAAUCAAAAACUAGAUGGUGCAGUUCUGAAGAGAAGCUGUGCAGAGACCCAAAUGAACAGGAACAGUACCAGCGGUUUUCACUGGCCUAGUACUUGCCAAAUAGGACAGACUGAUUUUCAACCCUGGAACUCCAGUCUGCAUUGCUCACUGCAACUGCUGCUUCUCAAUCCAGGGCUUUUCCACCUCACUCGUCUCACCUUCACAUGCCUGGUAGAUGCCAAUCAUAUAACUGACAGCCUUUGAUUGGAAUAUAUUAGCCAGAGGGAAAACUCAGGAAAACCAAAAGAGAAACACGGUCUGAGGAGCAGAGGGGCAGACACCAAGGUAGUGUCUCAGUGAACCUGACACAAGCUCCAGCAAGCCUCCUGCCGCCACCCUUCAAAGGGCCCAGGAUACAGGAGCAUGUGGCUGUGCCUGGCUUUUCAUGUGAUCUGAACUCAGGUCCUCAGCAUUGUGCAGCAAACACCCUUUAUCCACUGAGCUAUCACUCUAGUCCUUUGGUACUUUCUAUUGGACAAAAGCAAACUCUGUGGCAUUGGUGAGAAACGUCCAAUGAUACGUGGCCAGGGUCCCAGGAUUCAGGACCUCUUGAAAAAGGGGAGUCCACAUCAUCUGGAGAUGACUGAAGGCAUAUGAGAGGAUGUUCUAAGAUCGUAUGAAAACACUGCUCCAUUCUCCAGAAGGACCUUGAGCGUCUGUCAACUGUGGUAUCCACACAAGUCCUGACACCAGUCCUAUAACUAUGGGGGGAUGACUGGAUACUGCACGUAUCUCAAACUUACUGAGUCCCCAACAGAAACCUGGACAUUAAGAGAGACAAA